AAAUUGAAGAGUUUGAUCAUGGCUCAGAUUGAACGCUGGCGGCAGGCCUAACACAUGCAAGUCGAACGGUAGCACAGAGAGCUUGCUCUCGGGUGACGAGUGGCGGACGGGUGAGUAAUGUCUGGGAAACUGCCUGAUGGAGGGGGAUAACUACUGGAAACGGUGGCUAAUACCGCAUAACGUCGCAAGACCAAAGAGGGGGACCUUCGGGCCUCUU
rnacentral:rRNA from 5 species